UUGUAGUCUGCAACCCGGCCUACAUGAAGCUGGAAUCGCUAGUAAUCGCAGAUCAGAAUGCUGCGGUGAAUACGUUCCCGGGUCUUGUACACACCGCCCGUCACACCAUGGGAGUCGGAAAUGCCCGAAGUCGGUGACCCAACCGUUUAUGGAGGGAGCUGCCGAAGGCAGGUCUGGUGACUGGGGUGAAGUCGUAACAAGGUACC
rnacentral:rRNA from 1 species